UACAGAGGUCCCAAGCGUUGUUCGGAUUCACUGGGCGUAAAGGGUGCGCAGGUGGUCGGGUAAGUCGGAUGUGAAAUCUCCGGGCUCAACCCGGAAAUGGCAUUGGAAACUACCUUGCUGGAGGAUUUGAGGGGGGAUUGGAAUACUUGGUGUAGCAGUGAAAUGCGUAGAUAUCAAGUGGAACACCAGUGGCGAAGGCGAAUCCCUGGAAAAUACCUGACACUGAGGCACGAAAGCUAGGGGAGCAAACAGG
rnacentral:rRNA from 1 species